rnacentral:rRNA from 1 species
GGAGGAUCCAAGCGUUAUCCGGAAUCAUUGGGUUUAAAGGGUCCGUAGGCGGUUUAGUAAGUCAGUGGUGAAAGCCCAUCGCUCAACGGUGGAACGGCCAUUGAUACUGCUAGACUUGAAUUAUUAGGAAGUAACUAGAAUAUGUAGUGUAGCGGUGAAAUGCUUAGAGAUUACAUGGAAUACCAAUUGCGAAGGCGGGUUACUACUAAUUGAUUGACGCUGAUGGACGAAAGCGUGGGUAGCGAACAGGAUUAGAUACCCUGGUAGUCCACGCCGUAAGCGAUGGAUACUAGCUGUUGGGGGCAACUUCAGUGGCUAAGCGAAAGUGAUAAGUAUCCCACCUGGGGAGUACGAACGCAAGUUUG